rnacentral:rRNA from 1 species
CAGUCGCCGCGGGAAUACGAAGGGGGCUAGCGCUGUUCGGAAUUACUGGGCGUAAAGCGCACGUAGGCGGAUAUUUAAGUCAGGGGUGAAAUCCCAGAGCUCAACUCUGGAACUGCCUUUGAUACUGGGUAUCUUGAGUAUGGAAGAGGUGAGUGGAAUUCCGAGUGUAGAGGUGAAAUUCGUAGAUAUUCGGAGGAACACCAGUGGCGAAGGCGGCUCACUGGACCAUUACUGACGCUGAGGUGCGAAAGCGUGGGGAGCAAACAGGAUUAGAUACCCCCGUAGUCCCUGUCUCUUAUAC